rnacentral:rRNA from 1 species
UACGAAGGGGGCUAGCGUUGCUCGGAAUUACUGGGCGUAAAGCGCACGUAGGCGGCUUUCUAAGUCGGGGGUGAAAUCCUGGAGCUCAACUCCAGAACUGCCUUCGAUACUGGAGAGCUCGAGUCCGGGAGAGGUGAGUGGAACUGCGAGUGUAGAGGUGAAAUUCGUAGAUAUUCGCAAGAACACCAGUGGCGAAGGCGGCUCACUGGCCCGGUAACUGACGCGUGAGGUGCGAAAGCGUGGGGAGCAAACAGG